CGGUUCGGUUUCGGUUUUGGCAAAAAACCGAACCGUUUCAAACCGAACCCAACCCUAGGUGCUUCGGUGCUCUUUCCUUUUUUCUUUGCUGUUGUCGCUGUUCUAACCUUAAUUUUUUUCCCUUUUUGAUCUCAUUUCUCUCCCCUCGCGCCGAUCAGUCGGUAUGUAAAAAUUUCCUCUCUUUCCCGUUGAUGUCGCUGCUUGGGCGUUGAUCUUCUUCGCUUUCGAUUUCUUUGGGUGUUUUGUAGCUGUCUGCUCUCUCUUCUCUCUUCGCAUCUGUUGGUCUCAAAGUGGAUAGUUUUGUUGUGAAUUCUUCUAAUCUUGCAUCUACAAUUUUUUUAUGCAACUGUGUGGAUUGUGUUCUGUUCAAUUUUAGAUGUUAGAAUGGGUUGUUGCUUUCGAAGUUUUCGUUUGAUGACAGAGAUGUGGUUUUUUGGGGAGAAACUUUUAAUCCUUGAGUUUUUUAGUUAGGUUGUGUUGUGGGUCUUGACAAAUUUCUAACAAAAGCAGCUUGACGAUGAAAUGAUCUAACCAGAGGAGGGGGAGAGAGCGGGAGGGGGAGUGAGAGAGCUCUGUGUAGAAGAGUGUCGAAACGGCCAGAUCUACAAUUGGAAAGAAGCCGACGGCGGCAGAUUCUAUUGUGCUAGAUUGUGUGUAACUUCCAUCUGGGUUCUUCAAAUUCCAGCCCCCCAAAUUUGAGCAGUUUAUGUUACCCGGACUUAUCGAAUCAAGGCAGCUGCAAGGAAAUUUGAGCCUUGGCCUGUAGAGAUACGAUUUUGCAAGGAAGCUAGAACGAAGGAGGCAUUCAAAUUACUUUUGCUCCAAUCCAUUUCAUCAAUUUAUCAAGCUUUCAUGUUGAAGCUCCUGGGAAGCACAUGCAUUAUAUUGCCAACCAUGAAAAGCCUUGGAAAAUAAUAUUGAGCCCUCAGCAUCAGAAGACUGUUCUCCAAAGGCUGCCUCCGUUUCAUCCUGAAGCUAAGAAGAUCGGUUCUGGGAUCGAUUAUAUCACGACUUGGUUGCUUUUGGGUUUUCACUACUUUUUAAAAAAUGGGCGCCGAUCUCAGUCAACCCCCCCAAACAUCGGGUAAGUAUCAAUCUCUUGCCGUGUAAAUUCUCACAUUUGUUUUUGUGUUUGUUUGAUUUUAGUUUCUAGGGUUAUAAUUUCGAUCGAUUCAUUUGAGUUUCCUUCUAGAUCCAAAAGUUAAUAAUUCCUUUUGAUUUUUUUUUGUUCUCCCAAUCGCCCCUACAGUGGAUAGUUAUGCAUUUUUAUCUUGCAGAAAAGAUUGCAUAUUUGAUCUGAAUUGCAUGUUCAUCAUUUGCUCGACAUUUAUGGGUUUUACGCUGUCAAAAUCACAAUGCGAUUUCACAAGGUAUUAAUAAGGCUUAUUUGUUUUGAUUCAAAAUUGACUGUAUCAGUCCUUAAUAGUUUGUAAAUUUUUUUGGGUCUCUCUUAAGCCACGCCAUGAGAAGAAAAUUAAUCAUAAAGGUUUUCCCUUUUCCCUUCUCUUUUGAUUUCCCAGCAUGCAUGUUUUUCUCUGUUUUUACUGUUUUUAGCUCUGUUUAUUGCUUUUGAUUUUAGAUUUGCGGAUUGUUUCGAAACUGAGUUCCUGUUAAUUGCAAUAUCGUCACAUUCAAUGUGAUGUGAGAUAUUCUUAAUUCCACCAAUUGAUUUCAUGUAAUUGAAGUUUUGUUACAUUGAAUGUACAGAUAUUCUCAUUUGCUAAUUUACUUAACAAUCGCCAUUUUCCAUUGAUUAAUUAAACUUCAUCGUUCUUUAAAUAUCUAUAUAUGUUAUGCUCACGCUUUUUGUAAUCCCGUAGCAACGCAUGUGCACUAUUUCUAGCCUUCUCUACAAGGUAACCCCAAAUCAUUCAUUUCUAAUUAUAUUAAUUAGCUAAUUAAUUGAUUUAUUACCUAAUUAAUUUAUUAAUUAGCUAACAAAUCAUGAAUCUCACCCAAAAAACCAUCUAAGUGGCCGGUUCCCAUCCUCUCAAAAGGGGUGGCCACACGCUUAUAAAUACUAUCUCAUUUUCUCCAAAACUCAAUUCCAUUUCUCUUGCUAAAUUCUCCAAAUUCUCCAAACAUUUUUCUCUCAAAAUUCUAAUUUUGGCAUCGAAGCCCCCCCUUCCACAUUCAUCGUGGACGUGUGAGGCUUUUGGCCUUGACCUAAGGUGUUAUUUGUUUUGUAGAUGCAAUUUUGUCCAAGAACAAUGAUGAAGAAAUUUGCAUACACAAGUUUAAUUCAAUUAACUGAGAAAAUUAAAGAACAAACUUAAAAUAAUAAAUUAUUGAGGGGGUUAAAAAAUAACCUUAUUCGGUUGGAGAUUGUAUAUAGAUAUGGCUUUUUAUUGUUUAUUAAAAAGUAAUUUUUUGUAGGACUAUAAUCUAUCCGAUUGGAAAUGGUGUUAAGGUGGUAAGCAAAAAUGCUCGCAUUAAAUAUUGCAAUGUGAAUUGAAAAUAUUUAAAUAAUAAAAAAUAAUUUUUAUUUGUAUAAUUAAAAACUAAAUAUAUAUAUAUAUAUAUAUAUAUAUAUAGAUACACACACGAGCAGUACUGUUCAUCUGCUUCUUCCCCACCAAUAAUUUGUUUUUUCAACUAUUUUUCGGAUAUUUGUGGGUAUUAUUAAGGGGUAGGUCUGAUGGGUCUUUGUCCUACGCUUUUCAUGGCCAAUGGGAGCGCAUGGGACCUGGAUUUUGUUUCACGGCCACCUGAGGUCAAUAAACAAACUAAAACCAAGAACUCAAAAAGAUUCAAUCUUGGGAAAAAUGGUCGACGAAGCCGCAUAAUUGAGCUCACUGCGAAAUUGAAGCAUGUACAGACGCACAUGCAGAACAAAGGAAGGAAGAAAGAAGCGUGCUUUUCUAGUCAUGGAGGUGCUGCGAGCUUCAUCUGAUAAUUCAAAUACUUACAAAUCUAUUCGGAGAACGUUUGUGUUAGAGCAGAUCAAUGGUGGAUAAGAGGGACGGGGUCACUGUAUAUGAUAAUUCAAAUACUUACAGUACUGUUCAUCUUCCUCUUCCCCCAUUAAUUUUUUUUUUAAAACUGUUUUACUAUUUAAAUAUCUUUAAUUCAUAUGACAAUAUUUAAUUGAUUUAUGGGAUCCAGUUAUGUACCAUAUCAACACAUAACAAUUUUUUUUUACAGGAAAUACCAUGUUGAUAUGUGACAUCUAUUUUCAGGAAUUAUAUUGAUCGACUCAAGAACUAUGGAUAGGAACAAAAGAUUAAGAGCGAAACCACCAAGCGGCGCUGCGAAGAGGAAGAGUUGCUUCAUUGUCCGUGACAUCUUUGGGACACAAGACACCAAAUAUUGGUUCUGUAGCAUCUCAUUUUAUAUAAGAGCAAGGCUGCACAACUCACGGAUUGGUUCCAAAGUAUAUCGUCAUUCUCCUUUCGAUACGCUAAAUGUUUGAAAUGAUGUGUGGUUGAUUAGAAAAUGUGAUAAGGCUCUGUAUCCAAUCAAUGUGUGGUUGAUUAGAAAAUGUGAUAAGGCUCUGUGUCCAAUCAAAACUGUUCUGGAAAGUUGACUUUCUAGGGCUGGUUUGGUAUUGCUGUACUUUGAAAAAAAACUGCUAUGAGAAUAAGACCUAGUUUG